rnacentral:rRNA from 1 species
CAAUCGAACUCGGAGAUAGCUGGUUCUCCCCGAAAUAGCUUUAGGGCUAGCCUCAAGUAGUAAGUAUAGGCGGUAGAGCACUGAUCGGGCUAGGGGCCAUAAAGGUUACCGAACCCUGUCAAACUCCGAAUGGUUAUACUGUAGAGCUUGGGAGUCAGACUACGAGUGAUAAGAUCCGUGGUCAAAAGGGAAACAGCCCAGACCACCAGCUAAGGUCCCCAAUGUCGUACUAAGUGGAAAAGGAUGUGGGGUCUCUAAAACAACCAGGAUGUUGGCUUAGAAGCAGCCACCAUUUAAAGAGUGCGUAAUAGCUCACUGGUCGAGAGACCCUGCGCCGAAGAUUACCGGGGCUAAAGUACGAAACCGAAGCUGUGGCUACGACAUAUGUCGUGGGGUAGGGGAGCGUUCUGUGAGGGCUGAAGUCGUUCUGUAAGGAACGGUGGACUUCACAGAAGUGAGAAUGUUGGUAUGAGUAGCGAAAAGAAUGGUGAGAAUCCAUUCCACCGAAAGCAUAAGGAUUCCUGGGCAACGAUCGUCGUCCCAGGGUAAGUCGGGACCUAAUCCGAGGCAUGGAGCGUAGGAGAUGGACAACUGGCAGAUAUUCCAGUACCGGUAAUGAUUGUUUGAGCGAUGGAGUGACACAGGAGGGCAGGCAGGCAGGAGAUUGGUUGUUCCUGUACAAGCGUGUAGGAUGGGACGCAGGCAAAUCCGCGUCCUGUGAGUCUGAGGCGUGAUGUGGAGGUUCCGGAAACGGAACCGAAGCUGCUGACCCCACACUGUCGAGAAAAGCUUCUAGUUAGAGAAUUACCGCCCGUACCGUAAACCGACACAGGUAUGCGGGGAGAGAAUCCUAAGGUGCGCGGGAGAACCCUCGUUAAGGAACUCGGCAAAAUGUACCCGUAACUUCGGGAUAAGGGUAGCCGCUGUUGUGAAGUCUGAACAGACGGAGCAUGAGGCGGUCGCAGAGAAGAGGCCCAAGCGACUGUUUACCACAAACACAGGUGCCUGCUAAAGAGAAAUCUGACGUAUAGGUGCUGACACCUGCCCAGUGCCGGAAGGUUAAGGAAGGAUGUCCGGAGCAAUCCAAAGCAUUCGACCGAAGCCCCGGUGAACGGCGGCCGUAACUAUAACGGUCCUAAGGUAGCGAAAUUCCUUGUCGGGUAAG